CUGAGGCAGCAGUCACUGAUACCACAAACACUUGUCUGUUGUUUCUGUGGCCUUGCUGAGCCAAAAAACAUGUCAAAGCACAGAGCCCACCUAAGACAGGGUAUUUGCAGAAGACCAUACCAACAGGAAUUGGAUAACAAGAAGCAACCUGCUAAAGGGCCUGGUGGGAGGUGACUGAAUCAUGGGAGCAGAGUUUUCAUGAAUGGUUCAGCACUGUCCCCUCAGUGCUGUCUUUGGGGUAGUUCUAGCAAGAUCUGGCUGUUUAAAGUAUCAGCUGGAAUUGGCAGUGACUCAGCAGGUUGGGGCUGGCAACAAUGGAAGACUCAUUCUUGUCAGGUGGUUGACGGUGGCUUUAAGUUGGAACCUCAGCUGGGGUUAUUUGCCAGGACACCUACACAUGGCGUGUCCAUGGAGCUGCCUGACUUUCUCACUGCAGUGGCUGGGUUCCAGGAGCAGUUAUCCCAAAAGAAUAAGGCAGAAGUGCAUGACUUUUAGGAUCUUGUCUCACAAGUCACACAGAGUCACUUCCACCAUCCCCUGUUGGUCAAGAAGGACAUGAAGGUCUUGCUAGGUGCACAGGGAGAAGACAGACUCUACCUCUUGAUGGGAGGAGUGUCAAUCUUACAUAGUAAGAGAAGCACGUGGAAUGGGAUGUAUUGUGAUGCCCAUCUUUGGAACAGACAACCUGGCACAUCUGUGAAAAUUAAAAGUCUAAUUUGGAUAUAACAA